AUUGAACGCUGGCGGCAUGCCUUACACAUGCAAGUCGAACGGCAGCACGGGAGCAAUCCUGGUGGCGAGUGGCGAACGGGUGAGUAAUGUAUCGGAACGUGCCCAGUCGUGGGGGAUGACGUAGCGAAAGCUACGCUAAUACCGCAUACGAUCUAUGGAUGAAAGCGGGGGACCGUAAGGCCUCGCGCAAUUGGAGCGGCCGAUAUCAGAUUAGGUAGUUGGUGGGGUAAAGGCCUACCAAGCCGACGAUCUGUAGCUGGUCUGAGAGGACGACCAGCCACACUGGGACUGAGACACGGCCCAGACUCCUACGGGAGGCAGCAGUGGGGAAUUUUGGACAAUGGGCGCAAGCCUGAUCCAGCAAUGCCGCGUGCAGGAUGAAGGCCUUCGGGUUGUAAACUGCUUUUGUACGGAGCGAAAAGGCUCUCUCUAAUACAGGGGGCUCAUGACGGUGCCGUAAGAAUAAGCACCGGCUAACUACGUGCCAGCCGCCGCGGUAA
rnacentral:rRNA from 1 species